GUUGAGCGGGCUGUGAGGGUUGUGAGGGCUGUGCGGGCUGUGAGGCCGCGGUGGCAGCACCGCGCUCCAGCAGCGGGUGCGUCCCGGCCGUGCCGCGAGGGGCUGGGUCGCUGUCCCCGCUGCCAGCAGGGCUGCUGCGCAUCUCCCUCCAACCAUCUCCCUCUGCCCCCAUUUCCCAGUAGCCGGUGUUUCUCCCAGUGUUUAGCCUGGCUGCUCAUCAUCUCCCAUCUCCACCGAUUCAUCUUGAUCUUUCAGUUUAGUAUGCAGCGCUCGGAAAACAAACACGUACCAGACUGACAGUGGGAAUAAAUAUCGUGGAGAUGUUGAUUAGCAUUUGAUCCCAGCUGGGCCUCUGGAAGCUGCAGCACUGGAAUGCCUUGGCAGUUUUUUAAUGCUGAAUAAUUUGAUUAGAUCAGUGGCUGAGCCUGCUGCUCGCGCACAGUUGUUGACUCGCAUGGAUGAUAAGGUUCUGGAGACCCCACAGAUUGCUGCCUGCUCUAACAGUGCCGUUCUCCACGGCCUCUUGGCUUUGCUGCCGAGCCCAGCCUGGCCCAGCCCGCGGCUGCCGGAGGGGCUGCUCCCUGAGCCGGGCUGUCACUCAGCCACGGGGGCAUCUCCAGCCUCUCCGCUGUGUGAUCACCAACGGGGACAUGUCCCCUCCACAGGGUGACACGAGAACAACCAAUGGAGGAUAAUCAGUUCAGAGGGUGGCCAGCGAGAGUGGAGUGAACAGCCCUGACUCUUCCACUGCCGGUUUUCCCAAAACACCCCGCUGAUGGCUAUUUCCAAAGUGUAUCUUAAGUAUCUUCUUAUCAGCAGAAUGCCAUUUAAAAGCAGCUGAGCUUCCCCUGAACCACCGAGGCUCCACUGUUCCACUUCUCGCCCUACAUCAAAACCGGGAAAAUACUGAAUUACAAACCCAGCCUUUUCUAUCAGAAAAGAAUUAUUUUAUCUGCAAAAGCAAAACUGUGUAUUUUCAGCCACUGACCCAGUCCCGGGUAAAUAAACAGGCAGAGACUC